UACGUAGGGGCCUAGCGUUGUCCGGAAUUAUUGGGCGUAAAGAGCUCGUAGGCGGUUCGGCAAGUCGGAUGUGAAAUCUCCACGCUUAACGUGGAGGGGCCAUUCGAAACUGCCGUGACUCGAGUCCGGUAGGGGAGUGUGGAAUUCCCGGUGUAGCGGUGAAAUGCGCAGAUAUCGGGAGGAACACCCGUGGCGAAAGCGGCUCUCUGGAACGGUACUGACGCUGAGACGCGAAAGCGUGGGGAGCGAACGAGG
rnacentral:rRNA from 1 species